AACCAUUGAUCUACUAAACUGGAAACACCCUGAACCCGCCACCUUGUUCCCAGCAGCUAGAGCCCUGUCGAGCAUAACUGUGUAGAGGUGUUGGACUCAAGUUUACUCUAGCAGACCUGACCUCCGGGACCAGCCUUGGGCAUCAGUAGACUGGGAGCUAUACGUGGACGGGAGCAGCUUCAUCAACCCACAAGGAGAGAGACGUGCAGGAUAUGCAGUGAUAACCCUGGACACUGUCGUUAAGCUGAGCUCAUUGCUUUAAUUCAGGCCUUAAAACUCAGUGAAGAUCCAUCACAGUCAGCUAACACUGGCAGCUCAGGACAAGUAGACCAGCCAGCAGGACACAGAUCUUCCUACCCGGCUGAUCCUGAGACGAGACCAAGCUGUUGCUGAGGACGACAGCCCUGCUCUGGUCACUCCGGAGGCUGACCAGUCUACGCACGGCUGAAGCUUGAAGAAACAACAAGCCCGGCUCUAGUCACACACUGGCGGCUGAAUAGUCUACGCAUGGCCGAAGCUUGAGGACUUGUCAAGCAAGUAAACGUAGUUAAAAA